UAGGGAAUAUUAGUAAUGGGCGAAAGCCUGAACUAGCAACACCGCGUGUGCGAAGAAGGCCUUCGGGUUGUAAAGCACUUUUCGGGAGGAUGAGGAAGGACGGUACUCCCGGAAUAAGUCUCGGCUAACUACGUGCCAGCAGCCGCGGUAAAACGUAGGAGGCAAACGUUAUCCGGAUUUACUGGGCGUAAAGCGCGUGUAGGUGGUUUGGUAAGUAGGGCGUGAAAGCUCCUGGAUCAACUGGGAGAGGUCGUUCUAAACUGCCGAGCUAGAGUAUGGUAGAGGGAGGUGGAAUUCCGGGUGUAGCGGUGGAAUGCGCAGAUAUCCGGAGGAACACCAGUGGCGAAAGCGGCCUCCUGGACCACUCCUGACACUCAGACGCGAAAGCUAGGGU
rnacentral:rRNA from 1 species